rnacentral:rRNA from 1 species
CCUACGGGAGGCAGCAGUGGGGAAUUUUGGACAAUGGGGGCAACCCUGAUCCAGCCAUUCCGCGUGAGUGAAGAAGGCCUUCGGGUUGUAAAGCUCUUUCGCAAGGGAAGAAAACUUAUGGUCGAAUAAAUCAUGAGGUUGACGGUACCUUGAUAAGAAGCACCGGCUAACUACGUGCCAGCAGCCGCGGUAAUACGUAGGGUGCGAGCGUUAAUCGGAAUUACUGGGCGUAAAGCGUGCGCAGGCGGUUUUGUAAGUCGGAUGUGAAAUCCCCGGGCUCAACCUGGGAACUGCGUUCGAAACUGCAAGGCUAGAGUGUGUCAGAGGGGGGUAGAAUUCCACGUGUAGCAGUGAAAUGCGUAGAGAUGUGGAGGAAUACCAAUGGCGAAGGCAGCCCCCUGGGAUAACACUGACGCUCAUGCACGAAAGCGUGGGGAGCAAACAGGAUUAGAUACCCUGGUAGUCCACGCCCUAAACGAUGUCAACUAGUUGUUGGUAGAGUAAAAUCUAUGAGUAACGUAGCUAACGNGUGAAGUUGACCGCUGGGGAGGUACGGUCGCGAGAUAAACUACAANAGUAGUAGAGNGNGAGACGNGCGAGACGACGACGAGGGAGAGG